UGAGUAGCCAGGUCCAGCCAGCGAGCCUCGGCUCGCCGCCGCCCGCCCGCUCCUCACGCAAAAUAAGCCAGGGCCGCCCGGAGCCUAGCCUCUACCACGACCUAGAGUUACACCUCAGCGGCCGCCUGAGCCCGUGCAGGUCGAGGAGGCACGAGUUGAGGCGCCUGCGGCCACCGCCGCCGAAGGCCAAGCCGGACGAGCCCUCGGGACUACUACUGCUGACGAGGCCGCUCGGCCGCGGCCAGCCCGGGCCCAAGCAGUGCUCCGUCGAGAAGGGGCGCAGCGGCGGGCCCGUGCGCCCGCGCGGGCCCCACUGCUACCCCGUCGUCCGGGGCCGCGGACGCGGCUACCGCGGGCACACCGUCGGCGCCGCGCGGCUCCUCGAGGAGCACCGCGUCGCCUACCGCGGGCGCUUCUUCUGCGCCGCCCCGGGCUCCAGCGCGUCGAGCGUCAUGUCCCCGCAGUGGAAGAUGGCGUCCUGGCCGGCCACCCUCAGCGUGUAGACCCUAACGCCCUUCGUCCAGAUGAACCCACCAAAGCUGUGACGCGUGCGCCGGCGUUCCCGGAUGCUAGCGCGCCGCUAGUUCAAGGCCCCCGACCUCCGGCUGUAGUUGAAGUUAGACUCGCUGAUGCUCCUCCUAAACUUCGUCUACUCCUUGACCUGGUUCCUCCUCAAGCACGUGUAGGAGGCGGCGGUCUCGUGCCCCAAGCGGUCCCCCUCGAGGUUCAUGGCGCCGCAGUGCGAGGUGUUCACGCCGGCGACCCUCCGUUCCUACCCGGUCGACGAGCCGUUCUUCAUGUAUAUAGACCCGGAGAAACUGUCGCUUCAACUUCGACGUUCCCGCAUGCUGUCCCGCCGCUAAGCGAAGUUACCCUCCCUUCGACACUGAUUGAAACUCUCGUCGAGGAUGUUACCCCUACGAGGUGGGCUGCGGCUUUUACUCCGUUAACAACUACGACUACGAGAACUGAACCUAGACGCCUACAGCGUUGGGUGGCGCGUGCUAGGGUUCUCCCUGUUGUAGUAGCGGCCGGAAGUCAAUUGAAAACUAAGGGGACUUAGCAGUUGGUGUUACUAGAGAAGAGUCGGUUACUCGAGUAGAAGCAGGGUCACCGGACACGUAGUUGUACCGUGCCGUCAUCGUGGAGUCGUCGUGGUCGCAAACAUGGGUAGACGAACAGUACCGAAGAUGGGCUUGCAUGUCCACGUCCACGUCCUCUCCGGGUACCUCCGUUCCGGGGGACUCGUCGGCAGCAGGAAGGGGCCGACCCCCACCGUUCGCGUUCGGUACGGCGGCCCGAGGAGGGUGAGCGGCAACGAAAUGCGACGUCGUAGUAGUCCUAAAAGAUGGCGGCGGCGGCCGCGCUUGGAGCGGGGCGGCGGCGGCAUGGGCCUGGUGGUGGCCAAGAUGAAGGGGGCGGGCGGCCUGUUGACUUCGACCGGCAACACUGGUCUGCCGCCACCCACGCGCGCCAGCUCCACAAGCGAGGAGCAGCAGCCAUUGCGAACAACACUUUGAUAUUAGCCUCUCUCUACUGUAACGGUCCGGUACACACCACUGUGAUGACCGACCAGAGAGCGGCGGAGCGGUACUAGCCCUAGUGCGCCUAGUACCGACAAGUAAUCUAAGAGUACAUAGGUUACAAGUUCAAAGGGUUUGCCAACUUUUUUGAAACUUUAAACACUACCGUUUAAGUACGUACCCAGCGUGCCACGCGGGAACGUGUUCGCGCCCCUUCGUGAGACAACAAAAUGUC
rnacentral:rRNA from 1 species